UACGAAGGGUGCAAGCGUUAAUCGGAAUUACUGGGCGUAAAGGGUGCGUAGGCGGUUGUUUAAGUCUGUCGUGAAAUCCCGGGCUCAACCUGGGAAUGGCGAUGGAUACUGGGCAGCUAGAGUGUGUCAGAGGAUGGUGGAAUUCCCGGUGUAGCGGUGAAAUGCGUAGAGAUCGGGAGGAACAUCAGUGGCGAAGGCGGCCAUCUGGGACAACACUGACGCUGAAGCACGAAAGCGUGGGGAGCAAACAGG
rnacentral:rRNA from 1 species